rnacentral:lncRNA from 1 species
GACCAUGACCCACAGGACACACAAGUUGUGAACCAGUAGUCUAGACACCAGGCAGGUGCCCUGUACUGAGAAUGUCUUCCUAUUCCAGUCCAGAAGCCAAGAACCAAAAACACUGGAAGAACAUAGAAGCCAGGCUCAGGGUGGCACAUGCCUGCAUCACAGCACUUGGAAGGUGAAUAUAGAUGACUGUAGUUAAGCCAGCAUGAGUUGUAUAGUGACAGCCUGUUUUAAAACAGUAAAACAACAAAAGCCAAGGGGAGAAGACACUGAAGAUAAUUGAGUCCGAGGGUUAGGGAGGACUGGAUCCCAUUUCUGGUCCUUCCUACCCCCACACUCCUAAGAUGUGGGCCCAGAAUAAGUUAUUCUGCUCUGGCCUGGGUUAAGUGACAUCAGCAUAGUAGGCACUACUAGGAAUAACUUGAGAACAUGUUCUCUGUUCCUGGUACAACCUUGGCAGGGUCUAGAUGCUUGCUUCUUAAGUUGGAAGUGUGGUUUCUAACUCUUGAAUUAUCUGGAGGUAAAUGUUAGCUAGAAACUGCCAUUGAGUAUUAGAAUUAUGGUAGGGAUUACAUACAUAUAUGGAAAAAGUCAUUUAUAGUAGGUUUUUUGUUUGUUUUGUUUUUGGUUUGGUUGUUUUGUUUUUUUAGAUAGGAUUUCAUUAUGUAGCCCUGACUGGCCCAGUGGGUAAAUUGCAUGCAGCUUGAGGACUGGAGUUCCCAUACCCAGCACCCACAUAAAUGUCAGGUAUGUGUGCAGCUGCCAGUAAUCCCAGUGCUCAGGUAGGAGAGACAGAGAUGAGGGUUAGAGGCAUACUUGUAUAUGUGUAUAGAUUUACUUUGCAGCAGUGAAUUAUGGGUAGACUUACUGCCUGCUUUUUUUUUUUUUUUUUUUCAUUGAAUCUAUUAGAAACCUUAUGCAGCGUGAUAGAUUGCAUAAUGUCAUUGCACAGUAGUCAGGCUAGAUACUGCGUUUGAGCACCUUGAAAAUUACUCCUUUGUGAUGGUUUGUAUAUGCUCAGGCCAGGGAGUGGCAUCAUUAGAAGGUGUGGCCCCGUUGGAGUGGGUGUGUCACGGUGGACUUGGGCUUUAAUUCCCUAGCCCUAACUGCCUGGAAGUGAGUCUUCCAUUAGCAGCCUUCAGAUGAAGAUGUAGAACUCUCAGCUCUGCCUGCAUCAUGCCUGCCUAGAUGCUGCCCUGCAUCUUGAUGGACUGAACCUCUGAACCUGAAAGCCAGCCCAAUUAAUGUUGUCUUUUAUAAGACUUGCUUUGGUCAUGGUGUCUGUUCACAGCAGUAAAACCCUAAGACAAAAUUGGUUCCAGGGACUGGGGUAUUGCUGAGAUAGGCCUGGCCGUGCUUUUGUUUAGAAGAAUGUGGAUUUUGGAACUUUGGAUUUGGAAAGCAAUAGAACGCUUUAAAUGGGGUUUAAUGGGCUAUCCUAGUAGGAAUAUGGAAGGCUUCAUUACUGAGAGUGAUUUCAAUUGUGCAGACCUGGCCCGAGAGGUUUCAGUGGAGAAUUUCAGUAUGUGGUGUAAAGACUGUUCUUGUGGUGUUUUGGUGAAGAAGUGACUUCUUUUUGCCCUUAUGUGAAGAGUCUGCCUGAGGCUAAGGUGAAGAGACUCAGAUUAAUUGCAUUGACAAAGGAAGUUUCAGAAACGCCCAUCAUAGACUUUGUUCUCUGGUUCAAUCUCAUAAAGAACAUUUUAAACAAGCAUAGCAAGCUG